CAAAAAGAACUAAGUUGCUUCUGGUUCAGUCUUGCUGCUGGCAAGUUGUCUGAGCUGCUGGUUGCUUGUUGCAUUGCAGACCAAUGCUUAACAGUAUUUAAUGCCCUUCCCGAAAGUCCAAGUUGCACCUAGCCAGGGAGCUUGGAGCUGGAGGUUUCUUAGUUUUUGUAGUCUAGCCUCCAUAGACAUAGAGAUUGUUGGUUUUGAGGACCCAGGUCCUCGUUGAGGGGGAGCUGCUCAUCAUUUAUGGUGCAUAUUGAUAUGGUUGUGAGACUUGAAAGAGAUGGGAAGGAAAGGAGAAAAGGGGAGACAAUAGUUACUUAUUAAACAGUUUCUUAACGAGUGUUUAAGUGAAGACGAUGAAUACAUUUAUUCAUUUUCAUAUGUAACAUAUUAUUAUUUUUAUCAUUAGAGCUUAACAAGCACUUUAAAGUUUUACAAUUUAUAAACAAAAGCUGAUGACAUGAGAGCUUCAUAAACUGUAUGUAACCUGGGAAACAAUCGUCUUAAUCAAAUGGAGUAGGUGGGCGCCACAGGCAUGGAGGUGGUGGUGACGGUGGCGACGGAAGAGGUCGAGGAGAUGGAGGAGGGGUUUUGAAGUGAACAGGAGCAUUAAUCCUGGGUGGUGGUGGAGUUAUUCGUCGACUCCUCCUAGACAAAGCUUUCAACUAUUUGGAGAAAUCAUCCAACGGUGAUAGAGGAACAAACUCAGCCGCCUCAACUGCCAGGUUAAGCUGCGAAAAUGUAGUGGCGUUUAUCAAUAGCAAAGCAAACAAGCAAAGACUCCACUUCCAUUUCCGAAGCUCCCUUUUUGUUUAAACUAACAAAGGGGCCUGGUCUUUUACGAAGUCCUGAUUGAAGCUUUUAAUGAUGGAGAAAAGAUAUUUCUUUUUGAAGGGGAAAGGUUUUUUUUAUUUAAAUAUAGG
rnacentral:lncRNA from 1 species